UUCGCUUCUUCCGGUCCACAGUCCCGUCCUCUCCCAUUGUGUCUCUCCCUCAGCUGGUAUAGAAGAUAAGCAGCUGAGUAACGAUCCAUGGGUGAGGACUGGGAGUCCAGGAUGGGCUUUGCAUCUGGAGCAGGAGCUGUGGAACGAGGAGGUGACUCAGAAUCAAAAGGAAAUUCGCAUACAGAGACAUGCAUACAGAGAUGGGAGAAAAACCAGGUGAAGACA